UGGGGAAUAUUGGACAACGGGGGGAACCCUGAUCCAGCCAUGCCGCGUGAGUGAAGAAGGCCUUAUGGUUGUAAAGCACUUUAAGCGAGGAGGAGGGUACUGGUAUUAAUACUACCAGGUACUGGACGCUACCCGCAGAAUAAGCACUGGCUAACUCUGUGCCAGCAGCCGCGGUAGUAAGAGGGGACCAGCGUUAAUCGGAAUUACUGGGCGUAAAGCGAGGGUAGGGGACUAAUUGAGUCGGGUGUGAAAUCCCCGGGCGUAGCUUGGGAAUUGCAUUCGAUACUAGUUAGCUAGAGUGUGUGAGAGGAUGGUAGAAGUGCAGGUGUAGCGGUGAAAUACGUAGAGAGCUGGAGGAAUACCGAUGGCGAAGGCAGCCAUCUGGCCUAACACUGACGCUGAGGUACGAAAGCAUGGGGAGCAAACAGG
rnacentral:rRNA from 1 species